UUGGAGGGCAAGUCUGGUGCCAGCAGCCGCGGUAAUUCCAGCUCCAAUAGCGUAUAUUAAAGUUGUUGCAGUUAAAAAGCUCGUAGUUGAACCUCGGGGUCUACCCAUUGGUCAGGCUUAAUUGUCUGCACUGGUGAGAUGGAUCUCUACCUUCUGAGGAACUUUCAUGCCAUUUAUUUGGUGUGAUGGGAAAUCAGGACUGUUACUUUGAAAAAAUUAGAGUGUUUAAAGCAGACUAUCGUCUGAAUACAUUAGCAUGGAAUAAUGAAAUAGGACGGACUGAUUCUAUUUCGUUGGUUUCUAGGAUCACCGUAAUGAUUAAUAGGGAUAGUUGGGGGCAUUAGUAUUCAAUUGCCAGAGGUGAAAUUCUUGGAUUUAUUGAAGACUAACUACUGCGAAAGCAUUUGCCAAGGAUGUUUUCAUUAAUCAAGAACGAAAGUUAGGGGAUCGAAGACGAUCAGAUACCGUCGUAGUCUUAACCAUAAACUAUGCCGACUAGGGAUCGGACGAAGUUAAUUUUAUAAUGACGCGUUCGGCACCUUACGGGAAACCAAAGUGUUUGGGUUC
rnacentral:rRNA from 1 species